AUGGAGAGGAGGAAGAUGGCGCAGGUCGCCACGUACGUCGCGGUGGCGCUCGCCGCGUUCCUCUUCUGGCAGUCCACGCGCAGCCCCGCCCCCACGCCGACGCCGACGCCGUCCCCGGGGGCCUCCGUGUUCCCGCGGGCGGAGUCGGCGGUGCUCCCGGACCCGGCCCGCUUCUUCGCCCCGCACCUCCUCGCCGCGCCGCUCCCCACCAGCUCCUUCUUCCAGAACUUCGCGCUCAACGACGGGGACCAGCCCGAGUACAUCCACCCCUACCUGGUCAAGUCCGCCGCGGGGGGGCUCAAGGUGUGCUACCCCAAGAGCGUCCACUCCCCGUCCUUCCACGCCCAGGCCUUCGUCGCCGACCUCACCCUCUCCUCCCCGUCCGACGCCGACACCGCGGCCGGGGCCGGAUGGCGCCACCACAUCGCCGCCUUCGACGACCUCUCCGUCACCCUCGACUUCUCCCGGUCGCUGCGCGCGUUCCUCGUCCGCGGCAGCCCCUUCGUCACCGUCUCCACCAUGUGCGCCCGUUGCCCCGUCGACAUCUCCAUCGCCUCCGUCCACGCCUUCCUCGAGGCCGCCCCCCGCGACGACUCGCUCACCAGGUGGCGCCUCCGGAUGAACAGCGGCCAGACCUUCCUCCUCUACGCCUCCGCGCCGAUCCGCCUGUCCAUGUCCAGCGUCACGCGGCUCGCGGCGCCCGGCUUCCUUGGCGUCAUCCGCGUCGCGUUCCUGCCCGACGCGGCCAUGGAGGCCGUGCUCGACCGGUACAGCGGCCGCUACCCGACGGCCGGGGUGGCCGCGCUGGACCGCCCCUUCUCCGUCGACUACGCCUGGUGCACGCAGGGGUCGGGGGACCUGCUCAUGCUCGCCCACCCGCUCCACCUCCGGCUGCUCUCCAAGGACAGCCGCGUCCGGGUGCUCGACGACUUCAGGUACCGCAGCAUCGACGGCGACCUGGUCGGCGUCGUCGGCGACGCCUGGGCUCUGAGGACCGACCCGGUGUUCCCCACCUGGCAUUCCACCCGGGGCAUCAGCGAGGACGGGGUGCCCGAGAUCGUGGCCGCGCUGCGCAAGGACGUGGAUGAGCUCGCCUCCAGCCCCAUCACGACCACCUCGUCCUACUUCUACGGCAAGGCGGUCGCCAGGGCCGCGAGGCUGGCGUUGAUCGCCGAGGAGGUCGGGUGCCCCGACGUCAUCCCGGCGGUGCACCGGUUCCUGAAUGCCACCGUCACGCCCUGGCUGGACGGCAGCUUCGAGGGCAAUGGCUUCCUGUACGAUCCCAAGUGGGGCGGCCUCGUCACUCGGCAGGGGAUGACGGACACCGGCGCCGACUUCGGCUUCGGGGUCUACAACGACCACCACUACCACCUGGGCUACUUCGUGUACGCCAUUGCUGUGCUCGCCAAGAUCGACCCGGCCUGGGGGCGCGAGUACAUGCCGCAGGCCUGCUCCAUGGUCGCCGAUUUCAUGACGCUGUCGCGAGGAGCCGGCGCGAGCUACCCGAGGCUGAGGACGUUUGAUCUCUGGAAGCUGCAUUCCUGGGCCGGGGGCCUGACGGAGUUCGGCGACGGGCGCAACCAGGAGAGCACCAGCGAGGCCGUGAACGCCUACUACUCCGCCGCGCUCCUCGGGCUGAGCUACGGGGACAAACACCUCGUCUCCGCCGCGGCCACGCUCACCGCGCUCGAGAUGCUGGCGGCGCAGACAUGGUGGCACAUCCGUGAGGGCGACGCGAUCUACGAGGACGACUUCACCAGCAACAACCGCCUCGUCGGCGUCGUGUGGGCCAACAAAAGGGACAGCGGCCUCUGGUUCGCGCCGCCGGAGUGGAAGGAGUGCAGGCUGGGCAUCCAGCUCCUGCCGAUCGUGCCCAUCAGCGAGGCCCUCUUCCCGGACGCCGGCUUCGUCAAGGAGCUGGUGAGCUGGACCGCGCCGGCGUUGGCCAGGGACGGCGUCGGCGACGGGUGGAAGGGGUUCGUGUACGCCUUGGAGGGGGUCUAUGACAAGGAGUCGGCGCUGGCCAAGACGAGGGCGCUGGCGUCGCACGACGACGGCAACACGCUGACCAACCUGCUGUGGUGGCUCCACAGCCGCGGCUCGCCGGGCGCCGACAUUGCUGCUGUUGGUGGCGCCGGUGCGGUCGCCGUUGAUGCUGCUGGUGGUACUGCUCAUGGAAUGCUCUUGGAUAUGCUCGCGGCGGAAGAAUCUCUGGCUUCAGCGUGA
rnacentral:rRNA from 1 species